rnacentral:rRNA from 1 species
UGGCGGACGGGUGAGUAACGCGUGGGAACGUGCCUUCUGGUUCGGAAUAACUCAGGGAAACUUGAGCUAAUACCGGAUACGCCCUUUUGGGGAAAGGUUUACUGCCGGAAGAUCGGCCCGCGUCUGAUUAGCUAGUUGGUGGGGUAAAGGCCCACCAAGGCGACGAUCCGUAGCUGGUCUGAGAGGAUGAUCAGUCACACUGGAACUGAGACAUGGUCCAGACUCCUACGGGAGGCAGCAGUGAGGAAUAUUGCGCAAUGGGCGAAAGCCUGACGCAGCGACGCCGCGUGGGGGAUGAAGGCCUUCGGGUUGUAAACCCCUUUCAGGAGGGAAGAUGGCGCGGGUAACCGCGCGGACGGUACCUCCAGAAGAAGCCACGGCUAACUCUGUGCCAGCAGCCGCGGUAAU